GAUUGAGCACCUGCCCUGUUUCAGACCUGGAAAAGCCCAUCAUUUACCCACCAGGGCUGUUUCCAGAGCCUCAGCCGGCCCAUCAGUAUCUGCUUAGGGUGUUUUGCUCUCCACCACCACCCUGUCGUCCGAGUGGGUAUCAGCGUCCUCUCCGGGGGGCGCUAGCGAGGAGCUGAGCGAGGGAUUGGAUAAGCCUCUGGAGAACGAUGCGGAGGGCGUGUGGAGUCCGGACAUUGAGCAGAGCUUUCAGGAGGCACUGGCCAUCUAUCCACCCUGCGGCCGACGCAAGAUCAUUCUCUCCGAUGAGGGCAAGAUGUACGUUGUUUAUUGAGCAGAUGCUGAAGGACUCACAGAUCAGGAAUGACUGGAAUGUGAAGAGGAGGAGAAAGAGAGAGAGAGCGAGAGAGGCUGAGUGGGAGGUUAUGGAUUUAUGAGGUCGUUGUGGGAGCUGCUGUACUUUUGCGUGACACAAGCUUUGUUUCGGCCCCUUGUGGACCCUCAGGGUGGACAAUGUGUGUGUGUGUGUGUGAGGGUUUCAGGUGACCGUGGCUCAGUUUUCACUUUUGAGGCAUUGAUAUGAAUGACCCCUCUGUAGCCCCGCCCCAUGAACACAAUGACCCCUAACAGGGGCCUAAUACAUAAGUCUGUUUUUGAUUUUAGUGUGCCGUAAUUUCUUUGACUUAAACUGUUCAUGAAGCACAAUAAAACAAAAACAGCAUUUUGUACACUCUUCUGAUUUAGUAGGCUAAUAUUGCUUUAUUUAUUACCAAAAAAAACAAACAAAAAAAACAAAAACUGACUGAUAAGUCUACAUUGACAUCUAACUGCAUUGGCUGUAUGUUUUUGAUUCACAAAUCAGACUACAGUUGCCUAUAGUGAUAGUCAAUGUAAAAUGAGCAAAUGGGAGAAGCAGAUGAACACAAAACAGUAUAUAAAGUUAAAGAAGGUAAACUGAGCAUGUUUUAAACCUUAUAUGUUCCUGCUCCACACAUGUAUUAAAUGUACAUGAAGCAAGUGGCGUAUUUGAGUUAUUUCAGCACAUAAAAUGGAGCAAUAACACAUUUUUGUGUUUGCUGAAGUGUUGUUUGCUUGUUGCAGGCCAUCGCCAGGUUGUUUUCAUAUUGUUGCGAUGGCUCUGUGUGGUUUAAGUGCAUUGCUAUGCAGUUAGUAGAGUGGUUAAUGCUUUUUAGUACAAAGCUAUGCGUUGCUAGGGUACUCUACGUAGUUUUAGGGCGUUGCUAUGUGUCAUCUUCAAGAUGACAUUAGAAGAUAUAUUUGUUGAAAAUCUCCACACAUACACACACAUGUAGCUCAAAGUGAGAUCUCACACGAUGCCUUUGAGAAGCUCUUGAAGCUAAAAACAUGCCAGGCAUCAUCGUCGACUUUUAACAGAAAUGCUUGUCUAUUCUUUAAGAAGAGAUCUCAACAAUGUCUCAGCAAAUAAUCUCACAAUCAUUUUAGAGCUUUAUACUCUUACUGGAUGACUAGUGACUCUGUUUUUAUUUCUCCAAAGGAAUUUUAGGAGAAACAUCUGAGAGGAGAAAGUCUCCUAAAGAGCAACGUCUGACCCUCUCAUGCAUCACAAGGUCAUUUUCUCCAUAAAACAGCCACAAACAGGUGUUUUUCGUUGGGUAAGAGGGCAUUUAGGGGUUCUGUACUAGUGUGUACUAGUAACCGGAGUCUGGCUGGAUGAACGAGCCCAGUGAUUUAUGGGAAGCGUAAAGGCAUAUUCUAUAAACAUUGACACACAGACCAGCUGCUGCUCCUCUCUACGCCAGGCCAUCAGUAGUGCGCUGGGUGUCGACUGUGUUGUGUCGGUACCCUUUCAUUCCCUACCUUUUCAUCCAGUGUGACCCGUCUGUCAGCAAAAGCAUCGCUGCAAAAAAGAUGAACACUCAUGUAGGGGAGGGCGGUAUGAUUUUCAUCACUGUGCCCAAUCGAAAACCCUGAAAGAUAAGAUCUCCCAGCCUUGCUUUCACAUUUACAAAUGCAGUUACGUCAAGCACAGGAUCCCGUUGGAUAAAUUCCCCAGCGCACAGCAUGUGAAUGACUUGCUCCGUCGUGCCACUGCAGCCGAUGAAGACAUGUGUUUGUGUCGGUGAACGUUCUUACUUUAGCUAUGUACAGUACUUACUCAAACUCACUGUCAACACACUUCAUACCUCAGUCCACCAUGUGCUCAACAACAUCAGUCCUGCAACAAACACAGGUCAUGUGUGAUCUGCUUAUCACAUGAGAUGAGUUGCAGGAUCAAGGUUAGCGAAACAGAGUACAAAAAUUGUUUUUUUUUUAUUUUUUUAAAAAAAAUUAAAUUUAAAUUUUAUAUAAAGUUUAUUAAAUAUAUAAACACAGACACACACACACACACACACACACACACACACACACACACACACACACACACACACACACACACACACACGCUGGGGGCGGAGAGAGGAGUCACGUGGUGCCGGAAAUAAAGUGCGCAACUGUUUAUCGACGCGUUAUCACUGAUCAAUAACACUCCGUUAUCAAAUAACAUCGCGCUGAAAUUAAUAUCGGUUUUAACUGAGUGUUGAUCGGUCAUGACGCUGAACCGAAACCAUCACCCGAACGGAGGAGUCCUGGUCCAGGCCGGAGAGAGGUGACAACAACAACAACACAGACAACACACACACACACACACACACACACGACACACACACACACACACACACACACACACACACACACACACACACACACACACACACACACACACACACACACACACACACACACACACACACACACACACACACACACACACACACACACACACACACACACACACACACACACACACACACACACACACACACACACACACACACACACACACACACACACACACACACACACACACACACACACACACACACACACACACACACACACACACACACACACACACACACACACACACACACACACACACGUUUAUUAGUGUAGUGUGGAUGUAAGUGAUUACAGUGUGAAUAUGAGUUACAGUGACACAAACACACACACACACACACACACACACACACACACACACAUCUGUCCACUUGUUUCUGUUACUGACAGUGUUGACCAACCAAAAGAUAAAAUGAAACUGAAAUACUUUUAUUCUAUUUUUAUAAAAUGUACUAAUUAAAUACUUGUAAAUAAACUAGUAAAUAAGAUUUUUAAGUCAGUGUUUCAACAAUUUAACACGUUUGCGCAGUCACAGUUCUCUGAUAUUAGUAAAUGGUCACAUGACAUGCAGGUAAACAAAUAAAAUAUUUAAUCUUUUUUAACAUGUGGAGGGUUUAGUUUUUUAUUUGUAUUUUAUUAAUAAUUAGCUUCUCAUCGACUCAUUUAGAUUUUCAUUUU
rnacentral:lncRNA from 1 species